rnacentral:tRNA from 1 species
UCCAUUGUAGUCUAGGUGGUUAGAUACUCUACUCUCACCCGCGAAACCCGGGUUCAAGUCCCGAUAAAGGAA